rnacentral:rRNA from 1 species
AUUGAACGCUGGCGGCAGGCCUAACACAUGCAAGUCGAACGGAGUGGCGGACGGGUGAGUAAUGUAUCGGAACGUGCCCAGUAGCGGGGGAUAACUACGCGAAAGCGUAGCUAAUACCGCAUACUAUUGGAGCUGCCGAUAACGGAUUAGCAAGUUGGCGGGGUAACGGCCAACCACGGCAACGAUCCGGAGCUGGUUUGAGAGGACGACCAGCCACAAUGGAGCGAAGACCAGGCCCAAGUUCCGACGCGAGGCAGCAGUGGGGAAUUUUGGACAAUGGGGGAAACCCUGAUGCUGCAAUCCCGCGUGUGCGAUGAGGGCCUUCGGUUUGUAAGGCACUUUUGGCAGGAAAGCGGUACCUGCAGAAUAAGCACCGGCUAACUACGUGCCAGCAGCCGCGGUAAUUC